GUACAUGUUGUGGCCAUGGGAUCUCCAACUGCAAGAGCAACUUGGAGAGACUUUGACAGCACAGGUUAGCAUCAUACCUGCAGCUACCACUCGCCUUUUCUAAAAUA
ensembl:snoRNA